AAGGAACCUGGGGGAGGAGAAAGGGCGCCAUGUGUGAGGAAGGACACUGACAAAGAUAGAUGAGGAGGAAGGAUACUGACAAAGGUAGAUGAGGAGGAAGGAUACUGACAAAGGUAGAUGAGGAGGAAGGAUACUGACAAAGGUAGAUGAGGGGGAAGGAUACUGACAAAGGUAGAUGAGGGGGAAGGAUACUGACAAAGGUAGAUGAGGGGGAAGGAUACUGACAAAGGUAGAUGAGGGGGAAGGAUACUGACAAAGGUAGAUGGGGGAAGGAUAUUGACAAAGGUAGAUGAGGAGGAAGGAUACUGACAAAGGUAGAUGAGGAGGAAGGAGCCUGGGGAAGAAGGAGCCUAGGGAAGAAGGAAGGGUACCAUGUGUGAGGAAGGAAGGUGAGCAGUAUGGCAAGUGGACUGAGAUUCUUUAACCUAAAGAAGAGAACACCAGGCAGCUAGGAAAGUAAUGGAUAGAGCACCAGCCCUGAAGUCAGGAGGACCUGAGUUAAAAUUUGACCUCAGACACUUAACACUUCCUGGCUAUGUGAGCUUGGGCAAGUCACUUAACCGCAAAUGCCUCAGCCAAAAAAAAAAAAAAAAAAAAGACUACGAAAAAGAGGAGAACACAGAAGACAAGGCAAAGCAAGAGAAGCACUUACUAGAUACCUGACAUCAAUUUAAGUGCUGAGAAUAAAAUUAAAGGGAAAAGACAGAGUCUGCCCUCAAAAACUAAGAAAGGAAAUAGGUAUUUAAGUGCUAGGAACUGUUUUAAGAACUCUACCUCAUUCCAGUGGAGGAAGACAACACAAGAAAAAGGAACUAGUUCUCAGGGUUUUAUUUUCCCUUUUGGUCUGAUUUUUCUUGCACAACAUGACAAAUAUGGAAAUAUGUUUUAAAGAAUUGCACAUAAUUAACCUAUAUUUAAUUGCUUGUGCUUGUAAAGUAAAGGAGGAAGGGAGAAAAAUUUGGAACACAAAGUCUUAUAAAAAUGAAUGUUGGGGCAACUAGGUAGCACAAUGAAUAGAGCACUAGCCCUAAAGUCAGGAGGACCCGAGUUCAAAUUUGGCCUCAGGCCUUAAUAUUUCCUAGUUGUGUGACCCUGGGCAAGUCACUUAACCCCAAUUGCCUCAGCAAAAAAAAAAAAAAAAAAAAAAAAAAGGAAUGUUGAAAACUAUCUUUACAUGUACUUGGAAAAAUUAAAUACUACUGAAAAUUUAAAAAAAAAGAAAAGAAAAGGGAUCUAGAAAUCUAGAAAGGGGAAGGGGAAGGGAAGGAGAAGUGUCCUUGUGAGGGCAUGGUUCUGGAACUUAUAGGGGGGAAAGGGAAGCAUUUAUAUAGUACCUACUAUGUGCCAGGCAUUGUUACUUUACAAAUAUUAUGUCAUUUGAUCCUCACCACAACCCUGGGAAAUAGCUAAGUCAGAAUAAGAUCCAGCAGUGAAAUAAAGGUUGGCCAGCCUGGCAGUCCCCCCAUGGAGGCCAUGGCUACCAUGAGACACAUUUAAGUGCUAGGAACUGUUUUAAGAACUCUACCUCAUUCCAGUGGAGGAAGACAACACAAGAAAAAGGAACUAGUUCUCAGAGUUUUAUUUUCCCUUUUGGUCUGAUUUUUCUUGCACAACAUGACAGAAAAGGACAUAGAUAAGGUAGAAACUCUGCAGAGAAGGACAACCAGUAUGCUGAAGGAUCACAGCCCAAGCCAUGUGGAAAAUGGGUUAGCCUCGUUCUGUCUGGACAAAACUAGGAACAGGAGGCAGAGAUUUGGAUAGGAGACUUGAGGACCAGUGGCUGGGGAUUCCCAGGGAGGUACCUUCAGAUAUUGAGAUGAGUCUGAUAGCCCCCAAUCUUGAUCACCCAGAAGCUGCAGAGAAAGGAGGGCCCCACCUCCCUUUCUGCCAUAACAGAGGGAUUUGGGGACAGUGGGGUGGUAAAGGCCU